GGACAGUGCCUGGUGGGUAGUUUGACUGGGGCGGUCUCCUCCCAAAGAGUAACGGAGGAGCACGAAGGUGGGCUAAUCACGGUCGGACAUCGUGAGGUUAGUGCAAUGGCAUAAGCCCGCUUGACUGCGAGAAUGACAAUUCGAGCAGGUGCGAAAGCAGGUCAUAGUGAUCCGGUGGUUCUGAAUGGAAGGGCCAUCGCUCAACGGAUAAAAGGUACUCCGGGGAUAACAGGCUGAUACCGCCCAAGAGUUCAUAUCGACGGCGGUGUUUGGCACCUCGAUGUCGGCUCAUCACAUCCUGGGGCUGAAGUCGGUCCCAAGGGUAUGGCUGUUCGCCAUUUAAAGUGGUACGCGAGCUGGGUUUAGAACGUCGUGAGACAGUUCGGUCCCUAUCUGCCGUGGGCGUUGGAUGAUUGAGAGGGGCUGCUCCUAGUACGAGAGGACCGGAGUGGACGAACCUCUGGUGUUCGGGUUGUCACGCCAGUGGCAUUGCCCGGUAGCUAAGUUCGGAAUCGAUAACCGCUGAAAGCAUCUAAGCGGGAAGCGAGCCUCAAGAUGAGUCAUCCCUAGACCUUUAAGGUCUCUAAAGGGUUGUUGAAGACUACGACGUAGAUAGGCAGGG
rnacentral:rRNA from 2 species